AAGAAAGCAUAUAGCUACCAGUUCGAUAUUUUAAGUUUUCAUUAACAAAAACAUGAAAAAGGAAAGGGAUUGUUUAUCUUUCUGGUCUUUAAAAACGGAAUUUUAACAUUUUUGAUUUCAACAUUGCGUAUAUGUUCAGUACUGGUACUGGUGCUAUCAUCUGUGAUGGAGUAAUAUUAAUGUUCAGAUGAGAAUGCCCAUAUAAUGAAACAGUGGACCAGAAUAUUACUGCUACAUGGGCAGUAACCCAAGCCAUAUCUGAUACAACAGCUCAGCCAGAUUUAAAUUCUACGGCAACGCAAAUGAAAACGGCGAAUGCAAAUAGACAAUUUACUUCAAUCGAUAAGAAAUCUUUUUCCAAAAUUAUAUGGCCAAUUGUGGAAGUUCCAGUUGUUGUGUGUAUUUUUUCUGUCACAGUUUUAUGCAAUAAAGCAAAAAAGAAAUCUAAUAACAA